GAUGAACGCUGGCGGCGUGCCUAAUACAUGCAAGUCGAGCGAACAGACGAGGAGCUUGCUCCUUUGACGUUAGCGGCGGACGGGUGAGUAACACGUGGGUAACCUACCUAUAAGACUGGGAUAACUUCGGGAAACCGGAGCUAAUACCGGAUAAUAUUUCGAACCGCAUGGUUCGAUAGUGAAAGAUGGCUUUGCUAUCACUUAUAGAUGGACCUGCGCCGUAUUAGCUAGUUGGUAAGGUAACGGCUUACCAAGGCAACGAUACGUAGCCGACCUGAAAGGAUGAUCGGCCACACUGGAACUGAGACACGGUCCAGAAUCCUACGGGAGGCAGCAGUAGGGAAUCUUCCGCAAUGGGCGAAAGCCUGACGGAGCAACGCCGCGUGAGUGAUGAAGGUCUUCGGAUCGUAAAACUCUGUUAUUAGGGAAGAACAAACGUGUAAGUAACUGUGCACGUCUUGACGGUACCUAAUCAGAAAGCCACGGCUAACUACGUG
rnacentral:rRNA from 1 species